CCUACGGGAGGCAGCAGUGAGGAAUAUUGGUCAAUGGGCGCUAGCCUGAACCAGCCAAGUAGCGUGAAGGAUGACUGCCCUAUGGGUUGUAAACUUCUUUUAUAUGGGAAUAAAGUGCAGUACGUAUACUGCUUUGCAUGUACCUUAUGAAUAAGGAUCGGCUCACUCCGUGCCAGCAGCCGCGGUAAUACGGUUGAUCCGAGCGUUAUCCGGAUUUAUUGGGUGUAAAGGGAGCGUGGGCGGGUUGUUCAGUCAGUUGUGAAAGUUUGCGGCUCAACCGUAAAAUUGCAGUUGAUACUGGCAGCCUUGAGUACAGUAGAGGUAGGCGGAAUUCGUGGUGUAGCGGUGAAAUGCUUAGAUAUCACGAAGAACUCCGAUUGCGAAGGCAGCCUGCUGGACUGUAACUGACGCUGAUGCUCGAAAGUGUGGGUAUCAAACAGGAUUAGAUACCCCAGUAGUC
rnacentral:rRNA from 1 species